AUUGAACGCUGGCGGCAGGCCUAACACAUGCAAGUCGAGCGGAGCGGCGGACGGGUGAGUAAUGGCUAGGAAUCUGCCUGGUAGUGGGGGAUAACGUCCGGUAACGAGCGCUAAUACCGCAUACUAUCACUUGAGCCUAGGCCGGAUUAGCUAGUUGGUGGGGUAAAGGCCUACCAAGGCGACGAUCCGUAACUGGUCUGAGAGGAUGAUCAGUCACACUGGAACUGAGACACGGCCCAGACUCCUACGGGAGGCAGCAGUGGGGAAUAUUGGACAAUGGGCGAAAGCCUGAUCGAGCCAUGCCGCGUGUGUGAAGAAGGUCUUCGGAUUGUAAAGCACUGUUAGUUGGGAGGCGGUACCAACAGAAUAAGCACCGGCUAACUACGUGCCAGCAGCCGCGGUAAUUC
rnacentral:rRNA from 1 species